rnacentral:rRNA from 1 species
CAGUCGCCGCGGUAAUACGAAGGGUGCAAGCGUUAAUCGGAAUUACUGGGCGUAAAGCGUGCGUAGGCGGUGAGUUAAGUCUGCUGUGAAAUCCCCGGGCUCAACCUGGGAAUGGCAGUGGAUACUGGCUCGCUAGAGUGUGUCAGAGGAUGGUGGAAUUCCCGGUGUAGCGGUGAAAUGCGUAGAGAUCGGAAGGAACAUCUGUGGCGAAGGCGGCCAUCUGGGACAACACUGACGCUGAGGCACGAAAGCGUGGGGAGCAAACAGGAUUAGAUACCCCCGUAGUCCCUGUCUCUUAUAC